rnacentral:rRNA from 1 species
AUUGAACGCUGGCGGCAGGCCUAACACAUGCAAGUCGAGCGGAUGAAGGGAGCUUGCUCCUGGAUUCAGCGGCGGACGGGUGAGUAAUGCCUAGGAAUCUGCCUGGUAGUGGGGGAUAACGUCCGGAAACGGGCGCUAAUACCGCAUACGUCCUGAGGGAGAAAGUGGGGGAUCUUCGGACCUCACGCUAUCAGAUGAGCCUAGGUCGGAUUAGCUAGUUGGUGGGGUAAAGGCCUACCAAGGCGACGAUCCGUAACUGGUCUGAGAGGAUGAUCAGUCACACUGGAACUGAGACACGGUCCAGACUCCUACGGGAGGCAGCAGUGGGGAAUAUUGGGCAAUGGGCGAAAGCCUGAUCCAGCCAUGCCGCGUGUGUGAAGAAGGUCUUCGGAUUGUAAAGCACUUUAAGUUGGGAGGAAGGGCAGUAAGUUAAUACCUUGCUGUUUUGACGUUACCAACAGAAUAAGCACCGGCUAACCUCGUG